ensembl:snoRNA SNORD79 Small nucleolar RNA SNORD79
GACUGUAAGUGAUGAUUUGUUUAAAACAAUUGGGAAUCUCUCUGAAUAAGAGUGAAAGAUGAUUUUUAUCUGAUGCAGUG